UUCAGUCCUAAAACAGCACAGUCUCUGCGUGAAGGCGAAGCCGAACCAGAUGAUUUAUGUUUUCUCAGCUCUCUACUCUUCCUCCUUUUGCAGCGCUGGAUUUAAUGUUUAUGGAGGGUGGGAUUGCUGGUGGCAUAGAGAUCUGCAUCACCUUCCCCACUGAGUAUGUCAAGACUCAGCUACAACUGGAUGAAAAGGCCAACCCACCCAAAUUCAGAGGAAUAACUGACUGUGUGAAACAGACGGUACAGGGUCAUGGGGUCAAAGGACUGUACCGAGGACUCAGCUCUCUGCUGUAUGGAUCAAUACCUAAAUCUGCGG